rnacentral:rRNA from 1 species
GACGAACGCUGGCGGCAUGCCUAAUACAUGCAAGUCGAGCGGUCAGAAGGGAGCUUGCUCCCGAAAGUCAGCGGCGGACGGGUGAGUAACACGUGGGCAACCUGCCCCUUAGAUUGGGAUAACUUCGGGAAACCGAAGCUAAUACCGAAUAAUACAAAGAACCUCCUGGUUCUCUGUUGAAAGAUGGCCUUUGUGCUGUCACUAAGGGAUGGGCCCGCGGCGCAUUAGCUAGUUGGUAAGGUAACGGCUUACCAAGGCGACGAUGCGUAGCCGACCUGAGAGGGGGAUCGGCCACACUGGGACUGAGACACGGCCCAGACUCCUACGGGAGGCAGCAGUAGGGAAUCUUCCGCAAUGGACGAAAGUCUGACGGAGCAAUGCCGCGUGAGUGAGGAAGGCCUUCGGGUCGUAAAGCUCUGUUGUGAGGGAAGAACAAGUACCGGCGUAACUACCGGUACCGUGACGGUACCUCACCAGAAAGCCACGGCUAACUACGUGCCAGCAGCCGCGGUAA